UACGUAGGGGGCAAGCGUUGUCCGGAUUUAUUGGGCGUAAAGAGCGUGUAGGCGGCCAGGUAGGUCCGUUGUGAAAACUGGAGGCUUAACCUCCAGCUGUCGAUGGAAACCAUCUGGCUAGAGUCCGGAAGAGGAGAGUGGAAUUCCUGGUGUAGCGGUGAAAUGCGCAGAUAUCGAGAGGAACACCGGUGGCGAAGGCGGCCAACUGGACGAAUACUGACGCUGAGACUCGAAAGCGUGGGGAGCAAACAGG
rnacentral:rRNA from 1 species